GAUGAACGCUGGCGGCGUGCCUAAUACAUGCAAGUCGAGCGAACGGACGAGCAGCUUGCUUCUCUGAUGUUAGCGGCGGACGGGUGAGUAACACGUGGAUAACCUACCUAUAAGACUGGGAUAACUUCGGGAAACCGGAGCUAAUACCGGAUAAUAUUUUGAACCGCAUGGUUCAAAAGUGAAAGACGGUCUUGCUGUCACUUAUAGAUGGAUCCGCGCUGCAUUAGCUAGUUGGUAAGGUAACGGCUUACCAAGGCAACGAUGCAUAGCCGACCUGAGAGGGUGAUCGGCCACACUGGAACUGAGACACGGUCCAGACUCCUACGGGAGGCAGCAGUAGGGAAUCUUCCGCAAUGGGCGAAAGCCUGACGGAGCAACGCCGCGUGAGUGAUGAAGGUCUUCGGAUCGUAAAACUCUGUUAUUAGGGAAGAACAUAUGUGUAAGUAACUGUGCACAUCUUGACGGUACCUAAUCAGAAAGCCGCGGCUAACUACGUG
rnacentral:rRNA from 1 species